AGCUGAAGACUUGAACUGAGAUCAAGAGUCGAUGCUUAACCAAAUGAUUAAAUUUGCCCAUGGCUUUCCUGCCCAAUAGUUCAGUAGCUGUGGCCUGGUGCAGUGGUAAGGCCAGGAGCUCUGGAGCAGAUCUCAGUUUUGUUACUGAUUCCCAGGAAGAAAGACUCAUGAGAACAUUUCUUUUGGAGCUCCACCUUUUCAAAGAAAGGUGCAAAUUAGAUGUCGUAAAUUUGUAAUUCUACUUCCAUCCUUAAAAAAAGAAAUGUCAUUCAGACAUUGGUGUGCUCUGUCACCUUGAAUCAGAAAACAGCUCAUCUGGUUUAUUUAGUUUUUGAAAGCUCACACUUCAAAGAAAGGCAAGGGUUAUAUCCGCUGAUAAUUGUGCGAGCUUACGCAAGCAAAAAAAGAAAGAACUCUUUCCUGACCCCUGCAGUGAUCAGUAUGUAUCUCCCGAAGCACCAGGAUCUGAUGACGUCUGUUGUGGUUUGCUGACUCCCAACAGGCUUGAAUCUGCAGGCUUGACUCCGGAAAAAGAAUCCCACCAGCUUCAAGCGAAACUGUGCCCAAGUAAAGAUUACUAAUAAAAAUACCAUGCAACUGGC